UGGGGAAUAUUGCACAAUGGGCGAAAGCCUGAUGCAGCGACGCCGCGUGGAGGAUGAAGGUUUUCGGAUUGUAAACUCCUGUUAAGUGGGAAGAAAGAACCGGUGUUAAUACCACCGGGAGAUGACGGUACCACUAGAGAAAGCACCGGCUAACUUCGUGCCAGCAGCCGCGGUAAUACGAGGGGUGCAAGCGUUAUUCGGAAUAACUGGGCGUAAAGAGCGCGUAGGCGGCUUGUUAAGUCUGUUGUUA
rnacentral:rRNA from 1 species